rnacentral:rRNA from 1 species
GACGAACGCUGGCGGCGUGCUUAACACAUGCAAGUCGAACGCUGAAGCUUGGUGCUUGCACUGGGUGGAUGAGUGGCGAACGGGUGAGUAAUACGUGAGUAACCUGCCCUUGACUCUGGGAUAAGCCUGGGAAACUGGGUCUAAUACUGGAUACGACAUGUCACCGCAUGGUGGUGUGUGGAAAGGGUUUUACUGGUUUUGGAUGGGCUCACGGCCCAUCAGCUUGUUGGUGGGGUAAUGGCUCACCAAGGCGACGACGGGUAGCCGGCCUGAGAGGGUGACCGGCCACACUGGGACUGAGACACGGCCCAGACUCCUACGGGAGGCAGCAGUGGGGAAUAUUGCACAAUGGGCGGAAGCCUGAUGCAGCGACGCCGCGUGAGGGAUGACGGCCUUCGGGUUGUAAACCUCUUUCAGCACGGAAGAAGCGAAAGUGACGGUACGUGCAGAAGAAGCGCCGGCUAACUACGUG